AGACGGCCAGCCGGGCCGCGCCAGGGACAUACUGGAGACAGGAAGUGGCUGAGAGGGGGAGAGAGUUGGAGAGAGACGGCCGCGGAGGACACGGGGACGGGAAAGUCUGAGAGACGGGGAGAGCCUGACCCGGCGGGACACAGGCAGAAAGAAACACGCGAGCCAGACAGACGCAGAAGAAACGUGCCUGGUACUGGAUAGGAACUUCAUGGAAUGGAGCUAAUGGGCCGUAGGGCAGGUUUGAGUCGUGCCACCCUGGAGCAGAAGGUGGAGGGUAGGGAUAAGGGUGGAGAGAAACUAGGAGAAAAGCACAGGAUGUAGAGGUCUAUUCGGCAUAAUCUUCUCCCUCAUUUUCAUCUUCACCAUCAACAGAGAGAGCAGCAUACUUGCUUGCAGAACUGAACUUCUGUAACACAACGAGAGUGACAGGAUAAUGAAGGCCCUGAAUUAUCACAUCAAAACCCAAGACACAGGAUACUGAUCCUUUGGCAAUGGGGGAUGACAGUCAGAUGACACCCACUUGCUUGCUCAUCAGCAUUGUCCAUUGGAGAGGAGCUAGGGAAGAGGGUCAGAGGCACAUGCGAUCUUACUAUAGUCUCAUACCACCUCUACACCUUGCAGAAGGGAUGAGAACAAAGGAAGACAGAAACCAGGAAAAAGCUAAACUUCUUUCGCUAUUUCAGUAAAGACCAAUGUCUUAUUUCCAAACACUUUGUAUUCCAAAUGGA
rnacentral:lncRNA from 1 species